AGGACGAACGCUUGCGGCGUGCCUAAGAAAUGCAAGUCGAACGGGGGCUUCGGCCCUAGUGGCGAACGGUCGCGUAACACGUGGGCAACCUGCCCUGAAGCGGGGGACAACAGUCCGAAAGGAUUGCUAAUACCGCAUGUGGUUCUGUAAGGCAUCUUUAAGAACUAAAGGCGAAAGCCACUUCAGGAUGGGCCCGCGGCCUAUCAGCUUGUUGGUGGGGUAACGGCCUACCAAGGCUUCGACGGGUAGCUGGUCUGAGAGGACGACCAGCCGGAUUGGGACUGAGAUACGGCCCAGACUCCUACGGGGGGCAGCAAUUAGGAAUCUUGCGCAAUGGGCGAAAGCCUGACGCAGCGACGCCGCGUGAAGGAUGAAGUCUUUCGGGACGUAAACUUCUUUUAUCGAGGAAGAAGAAUGUGACGGUACUCGAUGAAUAAGCCCCGGCUAACUACGUGCCAGCAGCCGC
rnacentral:rRNA from 1 species